UACGUAGGGGGCCAGCGUUGCUCGGAAUUACUGGGCGUAAAGGGUUCGUAGGCGGUGUGGCAAGUCGGAAGUGAAAUCUCUGGGCUCAACCCAGAGGCUGCUCCCGAAACUGCCAUGCUAGAGUGCGGGAGAGGCGAGUGGAAUUACAGGUGUAGCGGUGAAAUGCGUAGAUAUCUGUAGGAACACCCGUGGCGAAGGCGGCUCGCUGGACCGCAACUGACGCUGAGGAACGAAAGCUAGGGGAGCAAACAGG
rnacentral:rRNA from 1 species